rnacentral:tRNA from 1 species
CUGAUAGGGCUGCUGAGCAGGCCACUGUGAUAUAGUGGUUGUAGGAGAAUUAGAUCCUCGUCGGU